rnacentral:rRNA from 1 species
AGACCAAAGGAGCAAUCCGCUGUAAGAUGGACUCGCGUCCAAUUAGAUAGUUGGUGGGGUAACGGCCCACCAAGUCGACGAUUGGUAGCCGGACUGAGAGGAUGUCCGGCCACACUGGAACUGAGACACGGUCCAGACACCUACGGGUGGCAGCAGUCGAGAAUCAUUCACAAUGGGGGAAACCCUGAUGGUGCGACGCCGCGUGGGGGAGGAAGGUCUUCGGAUUGUAAACCCCUGUCAUGUGGGAGCAAGGCGCAAGCUUGAUAGUACCACAAGAGGAAGAGACGGCAAACUCUGUGCCAGCAGCCGCGGUAAUACAGAGGUCUCAAGCGUUGUUCGGAAUCACUGGGCGUAAAGGGUACGUAGGCGGCUUGAUAAUUCGCGCGUGAAAGGCAGGGGCUCAACCUCUGAGUGCGCAUGAUACGUUGAGCUGGAGUAAGGGAGGGGAACCGGAAUCUUGGUGUAGCAGUGAAAUGCGUAGAUAUCAGAAGAAAGACUCGUGCGAAGGGCGGGUUCCUGGACAUUAACUGACGCUGAGGUACGAAGGCCAGGGUAGCGAAAGGGAUUAGAUACCCCUGUAGUCCUGGCAGUAAACGGUGCACGCUUGGUGUGCGGGGAAUCGACCCCCUGCGUGCCGGAGCAAACGCGUUAAGCGUGCCGCCUGGGGAGUACGGUCGCAAGAUUAAAACUCAAAGAAAUUGACGGGGACCCGCACAAGCGGUGGAGUAUGUGGCUUAAUUCGAUGCAACGCGAAGAACCUUACCAAGGCUUGACAUCCCGUGACAGACUAUGAAAGUAGUUUUUCUAUUCGUAGACACGGAGACAGGUGCUGCAUGGCCGUCGUCAGCUCGUGUCGUGAGAUGUUUGGUUAAGUCCAGCAACGAGCGCAACCCCUGCUGCCAGUUACCAGCGAGUAAAGUCGGGGACUCUGGCGGGACUGCCCAGAUCAACUGGGAGGAAGGUGGGGACGACGUCAGGUCAGUAUGGCCCUUAUGCCUUGGGCUGCACACGUACUACAAUGCCCAGUACAGAGGGAAGCAAGCGAGCGAUCGCAAGCGGAUCCCGAAAAGUGGGCCCAGUUCGGAUUGGAGGCUGCAACUCGCCUCCAUGAAGCCGGAAUCGCUAGUAAUGGCGCAUCAGCUACGGCGCCGUGAAUACGUUCCCGGGUCUUG